rnacentral:lncRNA from 1 species
AAAAACUAACUAAAUCUUAAAUCCUAAAUAAAUCCUAAACAAACCUUAAAAAAAAUCUUAAUCCCUAAAUCAAUUCCUAAUAAAAUCCUAACCAAAUCUUAAACCCUAAACCAAAUCCUAAUCAAAUCCUAAAUCCUAAACCAAAUAUUAAAUACUAAAUCAAAUUCUAACCAAAUCCUAAACUCUAAAUCAAAUCAUAACUAAAUCUUAAAUCCUAAAUCAAAUCCUAACUAAAUUUUAACCCUAAAUCAAAUCCUAACCAAACCUU